CCAACUAGAUAUCAUUGAGAUGGGAGCCAUCUCUGUGGGCCCCGCUGUCAAUAACGUGGGGUAAAUAAGUUGUAUGGAUAAUCUGAUAUGAAGCAUUAUUUGAAGUUAUUACAUAGUCUCAUGUGUGAUUUUGAUCUAAGAUUUUAGUUUAAAACUGAUAAAUAUUCUCAUCUUACUUUCAUAGUAUAAUAGUGAUAUGACUGCAUGAUGUGAACUCAUUGUUUACUACUCUAAGGUGACUUCUGGAUAUAUG
rnacentral:lncRNA from 1 species